UACGUAGGGUGCGAGCGUUAAUCGGAAUUACUGGGCGUAAAGUGUGCGCAGGCGGCGCCGCAAGUCGAGUGUGAAAGCCCCGGGCUUAACUUGGGAAUUGCGCUCGAAACUAUGGUGCUGGAGUGUGGCAGAGGAAGGUGGGAUUCCACGUGUAGCGGUGAAAUGCGUAGAGAUGUGGAGGAACACCGAUGGCGAAGGCAGCCUUCUGGGCCAACACUGACGCUCAUGCACGAAAGCGUGGGGAGCAAACAGG
rnacentral:rRNA from 1 species